rnacentral:rRNA from 1 species
AUGAACGCUGGCGGCGUGCCUAAUACCUGCAAGUCGAGCGAACGGACGAGAAGCUUGCUUCUCUGAUGUUAGCGGCGGACGGGUGAGUAACACGUGGAUAACCUACCUAUAAGACUGGGAUAACUUCGGGAAACCGUAGCUAAUACCGGAUAAUAUUUUGAACCGCAUGGUUCAAAAGUGAAAGACGGUCUUGCUGUCACUUAUAGAUGGAUCCGCGCUGCAUUAGCUAGUUGGUAAGGUAACGGCUUACCAAGGCAACGAUGCAUAGCCGACCGGAGAGGGUGAUCGGCCACACUGGAACUGAGACACGGUCCAGACUCCUACGGGAGGCAGCAGUAGGGAAUCUUCCGCAAUGGGCGAAAGCCUGACGGAGCAACGCCGCGUGAGUGAUGAAGGUCUUCGGAUCGUAAAACUCUGUUAUUAGGGAAGAACAUAUGUGUAAGUAACUGUGCACAUCUUGACGGUACCUAAUCAGAAAGCCACGGCUAACUACGUG